rnacentral:tRNA from 2 species
GCCCCCUUCGUCUAGUGGCCCAGGACACUGGAUUCUCAGUCCAGAAACGGUAGUUCAAAUCUGCCAGGGGGUA